rnacentral:rRNA from 1 species
GCUCCAAUAGCGUAUAUUAAAGUUGUUGCAGUUAAAAAGCUCGUAGUUGAAUUUCGGGCCUGGCUGGUUGGUCCACCUAACGGUGAGUACUGAUUGGCCUGGCCUUCCUUCUGGCUAUCUAGCCUGCCGUUCGCGGUGUGUUAGAGAACCAGGACUUACUUUGAAAAAAUUAGAGUGUUCAAAGCAGGCUUACGCUUGAA